rnacentral:rRNA from 1 species
CGGGCCGCAGCAGGCGCGAAAACUUUACAAUGCAGGAAACUGUGAUAAGGGAACCCCGAGUGCCCGUAUACGCGGGCUGUCCAGGUGUCUAAAAAGCAUCUGAAGAAAGGGCCGGGCAAGACCGGUGCCAGCCGCCGCGGUAAUACCGGCGGCUCGAGUGGUGGCCACUAUUAUUGGGCUUAAAGCGUCCGUAGCUGGACUAUUAAGUCUCUUGGGAAAUCCGCCGGCUUAACCGGCGGGCGUCUAAGAGAUACUGGUAGUCUAGGGACCGGGAGAGGUGAGAGGUACUCCGGGGGUAGGAGUGAAAUCCUGUAAUCCCUGGGGGACCACCGAUGGCGAAGGCAUCUCACCAGAACGGANACGACAGUGAGGGACGAAAGCUGGGGGAGCGAACCGGAUUAGAUACCCGGGUAGUCCCAGCCGU